GAUGAACGCUGGCGGCGUGCCUAAUACAUGCAAGUCGAACGCAAUACUUCGGUAUUGAGUGGCGAACGGGUGAGUAAUACAUAAGUAACCUGCCCAUUACAGGGGGAUAACUAUCGGAAACGGUAGCUAAGACCGCAUAGGUAAGAUAUAAGCAUUUAUAACUUAUUAAAAAUCCUACGGGAUUGGUAAUGGAUGGACUUAUGGUGCAUUAGCUAGUUGGUGGGGUAACGGCCUACCAAGGCGACGAUGCAUAGCCGGCCUGAGAGGGUGAACGGCCACACUGGGACUGAGACACGGCCCAGACUCCUACGGGAGGCAGCAGUAGGGAAUUUUCGGCAAUGGGGGAAACCCUGACCGAGCAACGCCGCGUGAAGGAAGAAGGUCUUCGGAUUGUAAACUUCUGUUAUAAAGGAAGAACGCUAUAUAUAGGGAAUGAUAUAUAGGUGACGGUACUUUAUUAGAAAGCCACGGCUAACUACGUGCCAGCCGCCGCGGUAAAAC
rnacentral:rRNA from 1 species